CCCCUGGACCCCCUUCCCCAAUGCUUCCUGCUUGGCCUGGGAUGACUCGGGAGAUUGCGUCUUCUGGAUGGCUCCUGUCAAGACCACCGCUCCUGCCGAGACCACCGCUCCUGUCGAGACCACCGCUCCUGCCGAGACCACCGCUCCUGCCGAGACCACCGCUCCUGCCGAGACUACCGCUCCUGCCGAGACCACCGCUCCUGUCCAGACCACCGCUCCUGUCGAGACCACCGCUCCUGCCGAGACCACCGCUCCUGCCGAGACCACCGCUCCUGUCCAGACCACCGCUCCUGCCGAGACCACCGCUCCUGUCCAGACCACCGCUCCUGUCGAGACCACCGCUCCUGCCGAGACCACCAUUCCUGCCGAGACCACCGUGCCUACCUACGGCACCCCCAUACCCGAACCUUCCACCCAAACCAGACCACGGAGGGACGCGAACCCCCACAGGCUGGUCACUUGGACCUUAACGUGCCUAUAUGUUUAUUACCGGCCAGCCAGGUGGACCACCACCCAUACCAAGCGGGUCACCCUUGCCACCAUCAUCACAACGCUGACCCCGACCUUUACAAUCAAGGUGUGCAAACUAUUCCCUUAUGGAAUCAGCGGGCCCAAGGGCCCCCCAUGUACCCGGUGGGGCGCCGGCGGGCCAUUUUACGCAUGUCCUAGUUACAACCCGGAAAAGCCUUAUUGCAAUUCCCCUGGCCAGUUUUACUGUCAUCACUGGGGCUGCGAAACUGCAGUAGCGGGCAGUUCCUCCUGGGCCCCACCGGAACAGGACCCCUUUAUCAGACUUGCCUGUCACCCCUCACCCCAACAGUGUACCCACCUCAACUUUACGGUCCUCCAACCGACGUCCGGGACCUGGUUGUAUGGACGAACUUGGGGUAUCAGGAAACAUGCAAAGUGGGGAAGAAACAUUGGGACCACCUUCAGGAUUAUAAAAAGACCGGUCACCACCUCUCACAGCAUAGGGCCACUGCAGAGUCAGCCCCGGCAACCAGGGCCCAAGAUUAGGCUUAGGAAAACAACACCUGCCCCCCCCCCGGAACGAAGGGACCUACCCACGCCCACCCCGACCUGCAGGGUAGUCACGUGGUAUCAGUAUGCCAGCUCCUUGUGCACGGGGACCGCU
rnacentral:lncRNA from 1 species